rnacentral:rRNA from 1 species
AGUGAACGCUGGCGGUAGGCCUAACACAUGCAAGUCGAACGGCAGCACAGUAAGAGCUUGCUCUUACGGGUGGCGAGUGGCGGACGGGUGAGGAAUACAUCGGAAUCUACUUUUUCGUGGGGGAUAACGUAGGGAAACUUACGCUAAUACCGCAUACGACCUACGGGUGAAAGCAGGGGAUCUUCGGACCUUGCGCGAUUGAAUGAGCCGAUGUCGGAUUAGCUAGUUGGCGGGGUAAAGGCCCACCAAGGCGACGAUCCGUAGCUGGUCUGAGAGGAUGAUCAGCCACACUGGAACUGAGACACGGUCCAGACUCCUACGGGAGGCAGCAGUGGGGAAUAUUGGACAAUGGGCGCAAGCCUGAUCCAGCAAUACCGCGUGGGUGAAGAAGGCCUUCGGGUUGUAAAGCCCUUUUGUUGGGAAAGAAAAGCAGCAGAUUAAUACCCCGCUGUUCUGACGGUACCCAAAGAAUAAGCACCGGCUAACUUCGUG